CAGCGCCGCGGGAAUACGUAGGGGGCGAGCGUUGUCCGAAGUUACUGGGCGUAAAGCGCGCGUAGGCUGUCUCUUAAGUUUGGGGUGAAAGGUUCACGGCUCAACCGGAACAGUGCCUUGAAUACUGGGAGACUUGAAUCUGGCAGAGGAUAGUGGAAUUCCUGGUGUAGCGGUGAAAUGCGUAGAUAUCAGGAGGAACACCCAUGGCGAAGGCAGCUAUCUGGGCUAAGAUUGACGCUGAGGUGCGAAAGCGUGGGGAGCGAACGGGAUUAGAUACCCCCGUAGUCCCUGUCUCUUAUAC
rnacentral:rRNA from 1 species